rnacentral:snoRNA from 1 species
UAGGCCCUGAAUGAAGGCUAAUGGCUUGCUGUAGCCAUUGGUUUCAAGGAGGUGCCAACAGGAAAGAUUUCCCAUGGCAUGUUGGCUGUCUUGUAUUUCAGAAUAGAAUAGCCCGUUCAUUGGGGAGUAACAUCC